UGACUUCCGGGCUGCUUCUUAGCCGCAGGGGGCGCCGGCGUUGCAAAGCGGGCCUGGGCGGGACGAACCGGACCUGGGCUCCGUAACUGCAGGAGCCCAGCAGUAGCAGCUGCAGAGCGCGGAGGCAGAGCACAGCCUCAGCCGCCGCCUCGCCAUGGCGGGUAGCAGCUCGCUGGAGGCGGUGCGGAGAAAGAUCCGGAGCCUGCAGGAACAGGCAGAUGCCGCGGAGGAGCGUGCGGGCAGCCUGCAGCGAGAGCUGGACCAGGAGCGGAAGCUGCGGGAAACCGCUGAAGCUGACGUAGCAUCUCUGAACAGACGCAUCCAGCUGGUUGAGGAGGAGUUGGAUCGCGCUCAGGAGCGUCUGGCCACAGCUCUACAGAAGCUGGAGGAGGCUGAGAAGGCUGCAGAUGAGAGUGAGAGAGGCAUGAAAGUCAUUGAAAGCCGAGCCCAAAAAGAUGAAGAAAAGAUGGAGAUUCAGGAGAUCCAGCUGAAAGAGGCCAAGCACAUUGCUGAAGAUGCUGACCGAAAGUAUGAAGAGGUGGCCCGUAAGCUGGUCAUCAUCGAGAGCGAUCUGGAGCGUGCGGAGGAGAGGGCUGAGCUCUCGGAAGGGUAAGCGGGCCCGUUGUCACCGUGUGUGGGGGGCGCUGCAGAGCAGCUGACUAAACGGCAUGACCUUCUGGCAGCUGCACAUUGACCUA
rnacentral:lncRNA from 1 species